CCGAGCUGCCCCUUCUCCUCCGUCUCUGCCCCUGAGCUUCCCUAACCCUUUCUCUCCUUCUCCUUCGUCUCUACCCCCGAGCUGCCCUCGCCCUUUCUCUUUUUCUUUCUCUUUCUCUUUCUCUUUCUCUUUCUCAUCCAAAAGAUCUAUUCCAUCCUCACAUGCAAAUCCUCCUCACCGUCGUGGUAUGUGCCGUCGUAGUAGCCGUUCAUCCGAUUGCUGACUUCUUAGUCACGAUAACCCUUAGACUCGCCAUCUCCAUUGUCAAUUGUGUUCUGCCUUUCAUCAUUUUGAUCCCCUUGCACAUCUGUCGGCAAAAACAACCAUUCAAUUUUGUGUUACUCAGUUUCCUUAUGGUUUCCAUAAGCUUCCUCAUGGGCUUCACUUGUGCCUUCAUCAACGGAAACGUAAAGGGAUGAAAGGCGCCAUUCUACUGCAAAAACUCUAUCAAUUGGACAACCAGAGACUACACCUGUUUAGAAAGAAAGAGAUGCCUGAAAGACGAUGGCAUGGUUGGGGCAAGAAACCAGUGAGGCAGCAAGAGAAGCCCCUUGGAAUCGAGCCAUGGCAUCAACAAGAGAAGAUAAUGAAGGGUCAACCAUUGAGAUUGAAGAUCAGAA